GUUCCUAUGUGGUUCUAAGCUAAGGAGCAAAGAUAGUAGUGAAAUACGAGCAGGCAACCGGUUCAAUUGCUCGACUACAUUGUACUCACUAUGUUUGAUGAACUUGAGGAACUCGGCAGCUUCUUUUUCUGUCACCGAUCUUUUUGAGCCAUCUGUCGAUUCCGGAGGUUGUACCUUUUCUUCUCUAGGACUUUGCUCUUUUUCCUUUCCCUUCUCAUUCUUGAGAUUCUCGAAUGCUUCCGGUGAAUAGCAACGUCCGCUGCGGGUAAUCCCUCCAACACCAAUUAUAUUUGCAGCAUCAUCUUGAGAUUCAGCUAUCCAUUUCUUCGCUUUUGAAACUUGUAC
rnacentral:lncRNA from 1 species